rnacentral:rRNA from 1 species
AGCGGCCGUAGGAGCGGCUGGAGCGGCUCUAGCCGCCGAGGAAGGCGCAGCCGAAGAGGCCGGCCCGGCGGGGGCUGGCGGUCGGCGGCGGCCGGGCCCGGUGGGAGGGGUCGGGGCAGCUGAGGGGCGGGGUGCGGCGGCGGCCGCAGCGGCUACCGUAGGAGCCCCGCCGGGCGCGGGAGCGGCGGUCCGGGCUCCGCACCUAACUGAAGGGGUACGAGCGCUAUCUGCUCUCAUUUCGAGAGAGGGGAGCUGAGAGCACGCUAAGCAACGAUUAACAACGGCGGUUAAAGCGGCCGACUGGUGACUACCCGCCAAGACACGAUAUAUACCUUCAGUCAAUUCCCCUCUAUCUAAAUUACAAACGACCAAACUCUCAGCAGCCUAAAUCCUGACGCUAAGGUGAGGAGUUUAACCUUCCCUACCCCCGCUUGAGGUUAUUCCUUCUAGUCUCAAAUAUCACGACGUAUCAAGACCAGAAGAGUCAGAGCUACAUCUCAAUGGUAUAGAACAAGAGUACGCGAACGACGAUUCGAUCACGAGGAGACUAGACUUAUCGAAUUCUAACUGUACUACCGGUAUGGCAUUGAGAACUUUGAAUUCAUACAGCCAAUCAUCAUGGCGGAACUCAACAAAGCGUACCGAGGAGCAACCAUCUUAGAAAAUAGCUACAACGAAACGACGCCAUACUUUGACAAGAAGUGUAAAUCUACGUAUUACAACACAAAGGAUGAUGAAACGUCUACGAUGUUAGAGACUACAUCUCUCUCUGGUAUACCUUCAGUAACUUUUCGAACAGGGACUAAAUCGUAGAGACGCCCGAUUCGAGACGGGAAGAAUGUACCUACUUCUACGUAAGACCUUCUAUAUGAAGUUUGAUGAACUCAGUUCGGAUUCACUUGUAUGAAGUCUCCUUCUAUGGGUCUCACACGUUCAAAGACACGUAGCGCAUUUACUCUAUCUCAGAGGUGGAGUACAGACACUCUAUCUUUCGCUCUUUCCGUGAGUUCUCCCAAUGGUUAGAAGGCCCUCGGUACGGAACAGUUUUUGUGCUAGGCUCGUUUCGUACCUGGUCACCCACAAACGUUUCAGUUUCAGCCUCGUCUCGUACCUAGUCACCAGGCUUUAUGGAAGGCUGCAUCUCAGGAAAUCUCUUCCAGUAUUUUCCAUGAAGUCGUCGCUCCGGCUCCUCUACUCGCUGCAGCUGUUGAGGUUACACGAGCAGUACCUGUUUAUGUACCUGAGCGAGGACGGCCUGGCCUCUUCGGAGGGCAUGCGGUCGAGGAGGCACUCUUCGCUAAGCCAUUCUUCCUUCGGGCGGCGGAGGAGGGGGCUGAUGUCGGCGGCGGGAGGCGUCGGGUGGGGCGGGCGCAGCGACAGCUUCUUCCUUAGUACCCUAGAGUAAGUCCUAAGCCUCAAACUCUAUGACCUGUCGAUCGUUAUUAUUCUCCAGAAACUAACUAGAGGUACCGAAGCAAUUAAAAGAAGUAACGGGAUGAUGGAAAGUGGACCAAACAUUUACCGCCGGAAUGUCCACCACGGUCACUACCAACCUUUUCUAGAACAGUCAGUCAGCCAUUAUUAUAGCACACGUAUAUAUACAGGAGAGUAGGGUGAACGACAUUGUAUUCCUUAAACACUACCUAGACCGCUCACACUCCGGACCUAUAACCGGAGGGACGACGUCUUUUAAAUACAACGUAUGACAAAAAGUACAGACGAAUAGACCACCCAAACACUCAUAAGAAGUCAAGUCAAGUCAAAAAGAAAAAAGAAAAAACUCUUUAUCUUUAUCCACUUCACACCCUCUCAAAGUACAUAAACCAAACGU